AUUGAACGCUGGCGGCAGGCCUAACACAUGCAAGUCGAGCGGAUGAAGGGAGCUUGCUCCUGGAUUCAGCGGCGGACGGGUGAGUAAUGCCUAGGAAUCUGCCUGGUAGUGGGGGAUAACGUCCGGAAACGGGCGCUAAUACCGCAUACGUCCUGAGGGAGAAAGUGGGGGAUCUUCGGACCUCACGCUAUCAGAUGAGCCUAGGUCGGAUUAGCUAGUUGGUGGGGUAAAGGCCUACCAAGGCGACGAUCCGUAACUGGUCUGAGAGGAUGAUCAGUCACACUGGAACUGAGACACGGUCCAGACUCCUACGGGAGGCAGCAGUGGGGAAUAUUGGACAAUGGGCGAAAGCCUGAUCCAGCCAUGCCGCGUGUGUGAAGAAGGUCUUCGGAUUGUAAAGCACUUUAAGUUGGGAGGAAGGGCAGUAAGUUAAUCCCUUGCUGUUUUGGCGUUACCAACAGAAUAAGCGCCGGCUAACUUCGUG
rnacentral:rRNA from 1 species